GACGAACGCUGGCGGCGUGCUUAAUACAUGCAAGUCGAGCGGACCUUUGCCGUUUGUUGCCGGUUUCCGGCGACAAAUGGCAAAGGUUAGCGGCGAACGGGUGAGUAACGCGUGGGUAAUCUGCCCCCAAGACCGGGAUAACAGAGCGAAAGCGCUGCUAAUACCGGAUGACCUCUCUUUAUCGCAUGGUGAAGGGAGCAAAGCUACGGCGCUUGGGGAUGAGCCCGCGUUCCAUUAGCUAGUUGGUGAGGUAACAGCUCACCAAGGCGACGAUGGAUAGCCGGCCUGAGAGGGUGACCGGCCACACUGGGACUGAGACACGGCCCAGACUCCUACGGGAGGCAGCAGUAGGGAAUUUUCGGCAAUGGGGGAAACCCUGACCGAGCAACGCCGCGUGAGGGAUGAAGGCCUUCGGGUCGUAAACCUCUGUCUUUGGGGACGAUAAUGACGGUACCCGAGGAGGAAGCCCCGGCUAACUACGUG
rnacentral:rRNA from 1 species